AGCGAACGCUGGCGGCAGGCCUAAUACAUGCAAGUCGAGCGGUCCCUUCGGGGGCAGCGGCGGACGGGUGAGUAACGCGUGGGAACGUGCCCUUUGGUACGGAACAACUGAGGGAAACUUCAGCUAAUACCGUAUGUGCCCUUUGGGGGAAAGAUUUAUCGCCAUUGGAGCGGCCCGCGUUAGAUUAGCUAGUUGGUAGGGUAAUGGCCUACCAAGGCGACGAUCUAUAGCUGGUCUGAGAGGAUGAUCAGCCACACUGGGACUGAGACACGGCCCAGACUCCUACGGGAGGCAGCAGUAGGGAAUCUUGCGCAAUGGGCGAAAGCCUGACGCAGCCAUGCCGCGUGAAUGAUGAAGGUCUUAGGAUUGUAAAAUUCUUUCACCGGGGACGAUAAUGACGGUACCCGGAGAAGAAGCCCCGGCUAACUUCGUG
rnacentral:rRNA from 1 species